rnacentral:rRNA from 1 species
AACGAACGCUGGCGGCGCGCUUAACACAUGCAAGUCGUACGAGAAGGCGUAGCAAUACGCUUGUACAGUGGCGAACGGGUGAGGAAUACGUGGGUGACCUACCCCAGAGAGGGGAAUAACCCGCCGAAAGGUGGGCUAAUGCCGCGUACGCUUCCACCUCUGCGGAGAUGGAAGGAAAGCCGUACCGAGGGUACGGCGCUCUAGGAUGGGCUCACGUCCUAUCAGCUUGUUGGUAGGGUAACGGCCUACCAAGGCAACGACGGGUAGCUGGUCUGAGAGGACGAUCAGCCACACUGGCACUGCGACACGGGCCAGACUCCUACGGGAGGCAGCAGUGAGGAAUAUUGCGCAAUGGGCGAAAGCCUGACGCAGCGACGCCGCGUGGGGGAUGAAGGUCUUCGGAUUGUAAACCCCUUUCGGGAGGGAAGAUGGGGCGGGCAACCGCCCGGACGGUACCUCCAGAAGCAGCCACGGCUAACUUCGUGCCAGCAGCCGCGGUAAUACGAAGGUGGCG